CCUGGGACAUUCUGCCCCGGGCUGCCCUGGUGAUGUGGCUGGAACCCCACAGCAGGCAGGGGCUUCUGGUUCCUGGUCACUCUGAAUAUUGGCCACCUUGGUGGGGUGGCUGGAGCCAAAGCAGCAUGAGCCAGGAAGUCCCAGCAUCCUCCUCACCAGGGUGCCCUGGCAAGCAGUCUGGAGCCGAAGUGGGAACCCAGUACUAACGUGGCAGGCCAGCUAAGGCACCAAACCCUGCUCCUGCCUGUGCUAUCGAGGUGUUCGGGGGAGUGUAAACCAUGGUACUUGCCAGCCCUUCCGACCCAGAGAGAGUUCCAGCAGCUCUCCUGUUUGGUGGACUUACAAGUUGGUGUUGAGGAGACCAAGCCUGGCAGGAGGCUGGAGCAGGCACAGGCAAAGCGCACGUUAGAAUGGGAAGAACCCCUGAGGCCUAGUUAUAAGAAAGCAAAUGCCAUGACCUAAGGGUUGGCCCACUCAUGCCACAGAGGCAGCAGCUAGCCUUCAUCAAGAAGGGGUAAGGACAAACCACAAGAACCCCACUGGACCACAUUUUAAGCAUCUGGUUUGCACAAAGGCUGCAUUCCUGUCUCUGCCAUUUGGUUGCACGUUGAAUACUCCAUAAUAACAUACAAGAAGCUUCUGAAAAGACUCAUUGCUGAAGAAUACCUCCUGGAUUCAUUUAUCGGUGAGACAUCUAAUGAAGACUUUAGAACA